AUCCAGCUGACGAGUCCUAAAUGGGACGAAACGCACGUCUUGGAU
rnacentral:hammerhead_ribozyme from 1 species